GUUAGAUUUAUCUGCCGCGCACUCUCGUGCUUUGGCUCUUCCGCGCUUCUAGCUCUCACGAUUUGGGAGAAUCCCGAACUUCUGUUUCUUUCGGUCGCCAUCUUGGUCGUGACGUCAUUUACACCUGCGCGUGCCGGCUCUGAAGUUGGAGUGCCGUGCGGGUAACACGCAGAGGGAGCGUACGCAAAAUACAUGAAAUGAAAGCACAAGAGCUGGCAUUCAAUUUUAAACCUCAGUUCCUGAUGUGACUCGAAAUAAAAAAAAGAAAAAUUAUGACACUGUAAAAUAAAAAUAAAAUUAACCUAGUUUUCGAGGUUCAUAUUUCUUAGCUUAA